GAUGAAGAACGGCAGCGAAAUGCGAUACGUAAUGUGAAUUGCAGAAUUCAGUGAAUCAUCGAAUCUUUGAACGCACAUUGCGCCCGCCAGUAUUCUGGCGGGCAUGCCUGUCUGAGCGUCAUUUCAACCCUCAUGCCCCUAGGGCGUGGUGUUGGGGAUCGGCCAAAGCCCGCGAGGGACGGCCGGCCCCUAAAUCUAGUGGCGGACCCGUCGUGGCCUCCUCUGCGAAGUAGUGAUAUUCCGCAUCGGAGAGCGACGAGCCCCUGCCGUUAAACCCCCAACUUUCCAAGGUUGACCUCAGAUCAGGUAGGAAUACCCGCUGAACUUAAGCAUAUCAAUAAGCGGAGGA
rnacentral:misc_RNA from 1 species